GGGGCCUUAGCUCAGCUGGUAGAGCGCCUGCUUUGCAAGCAGGAUGUCGUCGGUUCGAUUCCGUCAGGCUCCACCA
rnacentral:tRNA from 1 species